rnacentral:misc_RNA from 1 species
AAGUCGUAACAAGGUUUCCGUAGGUGAACCUGCGGAAGGAUCAUUAACAAUUGUCCAUUUUCCUUUGCAUAUGGAUGGUUCAAAUCCAUAUCCACCUUCGUGUGCACAUCAUCGACAUGUUUGCUUUGGCAGUUUGUGCAGGGAGAUCCUUUACCGUUUCUCUGUGGAGGAGGGAAAGGAGGGUGCGAGAGAGAGACAGAGGAGAGAGAAGAAGCACUUUUUCUCUCUCGGCUUCUUCCUUCUUGCCUUUCCCCACCUUCCUCCGGCACUGCCAGAGUUUUUUUCUUUCAUCUUGACAAA